GAUCAUGGCUCAGAUUGAACGCUAGCGGCAGGCUUAACACAUGCAAGUCGAACGGUAACAUAAGGAAGCUUGCUUCUUUGAUGACGAGUGGCGGACGGGUGAGUAAUGCUUGGGAAUCUAGCUUAUGGAGGGGGAUAACUACGGGAAACUGUAGCUAAUACCGCGUAGAAUCGAGAGAUGAAAGUGUGGGACCUUCGGGCCACAUGCCAUAGGAUGAGCCCAAGUGGGAUUAGGUAG
rnacentral:rRNA from 1 species